CCUACGGGUGGCAGCAGUGGGGAAUAUUGGACAAUGGGCGAAAGCCUGAUCCAGCCAUGCCGCGUGUGUGAAGAAGGCCUUCGGGUUGUAAAGCACUUUCAGUGGGGAAGAAAGCCUUGGGGCUAAUACCCUCGAGGAAGGACAUCACCCACAGAAGAAGCACCGGCUAACUCCGUGCCAGCAGCCGCGGUAAUACGGAGGGUGCGAGCGUUAAUCGGAAUUACUGGGCGUAAAGCGCGCGUAGGCGGUCUGAUAAGCCGGUUGUGAAAGCCCCGGGCUCAACCUGGGAACGGCAUCCGGGACUGUCAGGCUAGAGUGCAGGAGAGGAAGGUAGAAUUCCCGGUGUAGCGGUGAAAUGCGUAGAGAUCGGGAGGAAUACCAGUGGCGAAGGCGGCCUUCUGGACUGACACUGACGCUGAGGUGCGAAAGCGUGGGUAGCAAACAGGAUUAGAUACCCGUGUAGUC
rnacentral:rRNA from 1 species